CCCAGCCCCGGUAUCCCCAGGUGUUCCCAUUCCCUGAUCAGGACUGAACACAGACCACUCACCAUGGGGUUUUGGCUCAGCUGGGUUUUUAUUGUGGCUCUUUUAAGAGGUGUCUGGUGUGAGGUGCAGUUGGUGGAGUCUGGGGGAGGCUUGGUGCUGCCUGGGGGGUCUCUGAAACUCUCCUGUGCAGCCUCUGGAUUCACCUUCAGUAGCAACUGGAUGCACUGGGUCCGCCAGGCUCCAGGGAAGGGUCUGGAGUGGUUAUGUCAAAUACAUCCUGAUGGAAGUGCCCCACACUGUGCCAACUCUGUGAAGGGCCGAUUCACCAUCUCCAGAGACAACUCCAAGAACAUGCUGCAUCUGCAAAUGAACAGCCUGAAAGCCCAGGACACGGCCAUGUAUCACUGUGCAAGACACACAGUGAGGGGAACACCAGGGGUAGGUGAUGCCAAGCAGAAGCAGGGGAUUCCACGGCGGCUUGGUAUGGACGACCAGGAUGAUGAUUAA